GAGAAAUAAUUUAUUAUUAACCCCUUCCAGUGCUUCUUCUCCUAUCCACCCUUCACAUUCUAUCUCUACUUUCUAGUGCUAAAAAAAUGGAUGUGCCAAAGCGCUUUGAGCUCCUUAUCUUGCUCUUUAUGAUCCUUGCCAUAUCCCAAUACACAACUGUUGAAGCAAGAGCUAUAUCACUCCAACACCUACAAAGGUAUUCAAAGGAGUUUGCAAAUAAUCUUGGAGUUGUGUGUGACUGUUGUGAUGGUGAGGAAGGUGAUCAGUGCAGGAGCUCAUGGGAAGGGAGUUGCUCUAAGCUCCGCUGUCUUCCAUGGAAAUAUCAUUGAUUUAAUAUUCAUUCUAUAUAUGAAUAUAAGUUUAUAAUGUUUGUAUAAGCAAUUCAUGUUUGUGAUGCUUACGGAUUACAAAGUCUUUAUUUUAUAUGAUAUAAUAAAAUAUUGACUAAUAUAUAGAAUUUGCUCUUCAUGUUAAUA